ensembl:lncRNA
CCACUGAUGUAAAACUGUGGUCACUGACGUAAAUCCAGGGUCCGUGACGUAAAGCCACCAUCAUUGACGUAAACCCAGGGUCACUAACGUAAAACUGGGAUCACUGACGUAAACCCAGAGUCACUGCCGUAAAUCUGUUGCCUCAGACGGAAAACCAGGGUCACUGUGGUAAAUUGGGGCCUCAGACAUGACUCCGGGUACAGGCGUCUGUCAAGCUCAGGUGGAGUGCCAGGUUCCAGGGAUGGACAUGUCUGUGUCUGGGAGACCAUUACUCUGCCUCCCACAUGACCAGAAAGUUGAUUCCCUGAGUGUUACAGGACCUUGAAGCAGUUUGCCGAGCUUCUGAAUGUCAGAGCUCUGCUUCUAGCCCACCGUGUUCCUGAAGCAAGAGGACUCAUGCCUGGUGCUUGCUGAGCUCCGGCAUGCCCCACAACUGUCUGCUCUGUCAGGUGGUGAGACUGAGCCCCACAGGUGGAGUGAAUUCCCAAAUCCACGCCCAGCGUGUACCUGGACGGGGCUUAACCCCAGUUAAACAUAUUGAUGUGGGAACAGAGAUGAUACUGAGAGAACAGUGGUUGCCUGACUGAGACACCACUGAUACCCAACUCUUCCAUGUUGCCAAGGUGGGUAAAUGGAGAAAGCAAUGGCACCCCACUCCAGUACUCUUGCCUGGAAAAUCCCAUGGACGGAGGAGCCUGGUAGGCUGCAGUUCAUGGGGUCGCGAAGAGUCGGACACGACUGAGCGACUUCACUUUCACUUUCCACUUUCCUGCAUUGGAGAAGGAAAUGGCAACCCACUCCAGUGUUCUUGCCUGGAGAAUCCCAGGGAUGGGGGAGCCUGGUAGGUUGCCGUCUAUGGGGUCGCACAGAGUCGGAGACGACUGAAGCAACUCAGCAGCAGCAGCAGCAGCAUACAGAAAGAAAUGUGCUCUGUUGAAGUGUCCUACUGGUACAGCAAUGACAAGAACCAGAAGCUCUGGACACAGCAGUUGGAUAACGCAUGAUUUGCUGGCGGAAGGGCUGCUUGAGGGUGGUUCCCACCACGAGGUUACAGACAUUCAGCCAACCGCCUGGCUCCCGUCUCUUGACCCCUGCCUCCUGCCACUGGCCUGGCCUGGAGAGUCUGUUUUCAUUUUGUUAGACCACCGUUUCUUGUGUGUGCCGCACGUGAAAUGGAACAUCGGGGGAGGCACCACCAGGCGGCGUGAGGCGCAGAAGCAGAACAAGACCGAGGGGUGGGAACUGCAGAAAGGCAACUCUCCCGUGGACGUGAGGCGCCAGUCCAAAACAGCGGCACUACUUUCUAAUCACCAGACUCUCCCGCGUUCCAGACUCAGCUUCCGAGCUGUGACUCCCCGAGUGCGCACGGGUGCACCUGUGUUCCAAAUAAAGCCUCGCCAGCCCGGAGGCCAGGGGGUCGCAUGUUCAGUCCCGUGACAGAAACAAACCUGCGAAGCCCCAGAGAAAACAGUGGGGUCAGGGUCCCCCAUAGCUAACAGUGAGUGAGCGGUCCCCAAACAUAGCAGGGGCCAAUAGGGUCCACUGACUGAAUAAAACACGGUGACCCCAACAUCACAGCAGUGCAGGGGACACUGUCUUAUACUCGGGUUCUGUGCGUCUAUCGAACAUGUGUGUCACCGUCUGUUUUUCAACCUUGUGUUACAAGUCUUGGUGUGUGUGCUAAACACACUGUUGCUCUUCUUCUAGUUAAAAAGAAAAAAAUGUAGUUAACGC